GAUCUUUAAAUACUUUGCAAAGUGCAUUCAAAUUAAAGAAAAAUACGGGUCUGUUAAAUACUUCCUAGAUACAGCAGUGCAAGAGGUUUGUUGUAACUCUGUUGUUUAUUAAUGAGUUUUAAAUUAAAACACAAGAGGAAAUAUGGGUUCCAUAAGUUAUCCCUGGACGUCCUGUAAAAACUUGUCGACACUUAUUGUAUCAUGCGCACUGUUAAUUCGGGUUUUGUCGAUUGGUUACGUCAUUGGUGGUAUUGUAAUACUGUCCACAGAUCCUCUACUACCGUGCUUCACAACACUAAACAACUGCAAGCUGGGAAUUUUUCAAUUGGGAUCUUUUUUCGGUUGGCUUAUACUCGCUCUGACACCUGCAGUAAUAGUCAAUGUGACGAAUUCAUCGAUUAUAUACCUCGGCAUUUGCAAGAGACGAAAUCACUACUUACAGAUAAGUACAGUGAUAAGCAUCUUGAAUCUGUUUUGGUUUAUAAUUUUGAUUGGGCUUUGGUCGUGGCAAAUUAAUGAGGUAGGUUAUUAAUCUUUAUAUUAUGUAUUCAAAAUACAAAUAAUUAUUUUUAUGGUCGUUCUUACAAGUUAACAUUAAAUAUACUAUUAACCAAAAUUGAUGGCUGCAAACCAAAAACAAAGUAAAAGUAAAAAAAAAUU